rnacentral:tRNA from 1 species
UCCCUGGUGGCUCAGAUGGUAAAGAAUCCACCUGCAAUGCGGAAGAUCUGGGUUCAAUCCCUGGUUUGGGAA